UACGUAGGGGGCAAGCGUUGUCCGGAAUCAUUGGGCGUAAAGAGCGUUUAGGCGGUUCGGUAAGUCGGCUGUGAAAGUCCAGGGCUCAACCCUGGGAUGCCGGUCGAUACUGCCGGACUAGAGUUCGGAAGAGGCGAGUGGAAUUCCCGGUGUAGCGGUGAAAUGCGCAGAUAUCGGGAGGAACACCUAUGGCGAAGGCAGCUCGCUGGGACGUUACUGACGCUGAGACGCGAAAGCGUGGGGAGCAAACAGG
rnacentral:rRNA from 1 species